AUCCAGAUGAUGAGCCCCAAACAGGGCGAAACGCGUGUUUUCCUGGAU
rnacentral:hammerhead_ribozyme from 1 species